UACGUAGGGACCAAGCGUUGUUCGGAUUUACUGGGCGUAAAGGGCGCGUAGGCGGCAAUUCAAGUCAGCUGUGAAAGCCCCGGGCUCAACCUGGGAAUGGCAGUGGAUACUGGCAAGCUAGAGUGCGGUAGGGGGGUGUGGAAUUCCCGGUGUAGCGGUGAAAUGCGUAGAGAUCGGGAGGAACACCAGUGGCGAAGGCGGCACCCUGGACCAGCACUGACACUGAGGCACGAAAGCGUGGGGAGCAAACAGG
rnacentral:rRNA from 1 species